GAAAAUCCGUCGACUUUCGAAAU
rnacentral:tRNA from 3 species